rnacentral:lncRNA from 1 species
GGAUAUAAGUUUGAUAUGUUUUGGAUUAGAAAUGGAUUCGGAAAACGCGUUUGAAGUUUGGAUAUUGAUGCUGGAAACUGCAUACGGGUUUUGGCAUGGAUUUUGCGGAAUAAGCUAAAAUGUGAGUUUAAGUUGGGUGAAUGAUUUCAUAACUGAAUAUGUAUGCUUAAUUGGCUGAGUAAGAGUUUGAUUUGAAGUUGAAAUGCAAAAAUUAGAGGUCGGAAGUCAGUAGCAGUUUUAUGCAGAAAAUAUGUCGCGAGUUUGNNNNNNNNNNNNNNNNNNNNNNNNCGGAUGGCUCUAAGCGGGCGAUAUGGCUCGGUACUGCUAGCAAUUUUCAGGUGGGUUCUAGUUAGUUUAGCUCCAUUAGUUUCCCCAAAUAAAAUAUGCAUGAUAACAUUAGCUAGAAUAAGAUGAUAGUUUCCCCGAAUUAUUAAUGCAUGACCACUUUAAGGAAAUUAGGAUAUUAUUGUGUGAGAAGGUUUAAAUCCCAAAACCAUCUUCAUUCUAUUCAUUUAAUAUUGUUAUGUUGCUUAUAACUAGAGAAGACUGGGAUUGUAGGUGGAAUUAUGAUAUAUUCUUUGAAAAUGCAAAGCAGGGAACUGUACUGGUUUUCUCGCUUAGUGAGCAUGAAGAUUUGCCAAGCGAGCGUGGCAGAACAGAACUCUGCAAAAACAAUGUUUUAAAUAAUAAUCCACUCAUUUUAUAUCCCUGACUAUUCUGAAGUAUUUUUGUAAGCAAUAUGAUAAUAUUAUGUGAAUAGAGUGUUAAUCACUUCAGGAAAUUAAGUAUCAGGAAUCAGAACAGUUUAAAAAUACCCUGGGAGGGAAUUCAUGGGUAGGAUAACAAUCACGAUAAUUAAGUUAAGUUAAGAAAGUCAGUCAAUCAUGGUGGUUACUUAUGUACCACGUUAUGGGAUUCGAGGAAUACAAUCAUGUCGUGUCGAUGCGUAUAAUCAUCGACGACGGAUAUGUCAGGCCUCUGAGAUCGGCUCACCUCAGAGUGUCUUAGUUAUGUUAAAAUGAACAAGAUAAUUAAUAUGUGUUACACCUUUAAUUUAUAUUAUUAUGUUUAUGAAAUCAUGUUAUGAAAUUAUGUUAGGGACUGACAAUCAGGAUCAAGGAACUUUUAGUUCAUUAGUUGCCCCCGGUGUAAACACCAAUAGUAACUGUGUAGUAGGAAUCCACUGAGACGAAGUGACUGUUCUCAUCCCCCAGUUAUUUGAUUUCAGAUAAAUAGGUUGAUCGAGAUAUCAUGGUCUACAAGCAUGGAGUUCAGAUACUUGGAUUAUGCUAGUUGAG